ensembl:lncRNA
CGAGCUACUAAUGGUCACAAAUCAGAAUAGUACAAUGUUUCUGCUGUUUUCUGAAGCUACAUUAGAAAGCCAGAGGUGUUUACUUGAAGUUCUGCCAUGUUAAUGUUUAUGUGCUUGCUUUAAAAUGCUGUAGUUCUUUAACUAAUCAUGCAUUGUUAACCUCUUGGAAAAGGCAGCGCUUCAGACUACGGUGUUUGCACAGCAGAUUGUAAAAUUGUGUCUCAGAGCUCCAAGGGGGCUAGAACUGUCACGAAUACUUCUAAUAAUAUUGGAAGAAAAUUAAUAGAAGCUCAAGUCCUUGAGCAGGAAUCAGAAUCACACAGCACGGCAUUAUGCAGCCUCUGAAAUUUGAGGAACUGCUGUACAACAUUUCCCAUGCUCAGUUGAGUAGCCAUGUUUUAUCCUCCAGUAAAUGUUUAUUCGGCUGAUCUUACAUUUGGGAAAACUACGGAAUUAUUCAAGGCCAAAUUGCCAGUCCUGCCGAGAUCAUUCAGAGUGCUCUUGAUGUGGUUGUUCAUUGAACCAUCUGCUGAAAGACUAGAGGAGUGGCAGACAAAACAGUGGCUGAAGAAAGCUUUACUAAAUUGUUUUCAUUUCCACCAAAAGGACUGAGGAGCACUGUGAGACUGACUGUUCUUUGUGCUGAACUCAAGAGACAGCAAACUCAAUACUGGGUCUCAAUGGAAGAGCAAGGCAGGAAGAUGUGUUAUAAUUUGAGGAGCUGAUAAGCUUCAUAUUCUGAAAUUACAGCUUGAAAAGUACCCUAUACUUUUUAAAUUAAAUAAUUUAUGUUAUUUGUUGAGGAAAAUGCCACGGAUUUGAUUUGGUGGGUUUUUUGUUGUUGUUGUUUGGUUUUUGUUUGUUUGUUUUCAUAUUAAAAAAACCACAAGCUUAUAGAACAUUCGUGUGUGCGUUUCUGUUGUUUGGUGUGG